UCAGGUGUUUUACUAUGUCUAAAGAACAUAAAAUAAAUUCUAUCAAACCGAUAGCAAUCACUUUUCUCCUCAUGCUCAAAUCCAGCAUUUUUUCCCUUCCAGUCGUGAAUCAUGAUGCCAUCCAAGGAUGAGAUUUUUAGGAAAAAUGUGUUACCUGUCCCCAGCAUGUGUGAGGUCCAGUAGCCUUUGUGGUUAUUAUCCUCUGAAGCUUCCAGAGCUCUUACUUGUCAGCAGUCACUCCUGCUGCCCUAACUCCAAAAUGAGCAAUACACUUUUGUUCCACACAACUCCAUGUCCUGUCCCAUUUCUGCUUCUCCUGCCCUGAAAAGUCCCCUCCUAAGAUCUGUUUCCUGGCUCUGCACUCAUUUCACAAGGCAGGGACUGUUUGGAAGAGGGAGGACUUUUACUAAAUGGACAGAAAUUCCUGAGUGGGCUGUAGUUUCACAGGGUCAGUACGAGACCAACAAAAAUCUUGUCAUUUGGGAGGAAUUUAUAAGAAUUAUAAACACUGCUUGUUAUCUUAGGGUCAUCUCUGACUCAUUUCUAGCUUUUAUCCUACUCUUUCUGUCUGUGUCCAAAAUUUUACUUCCCUCAGCUUAAUUCUAUGUGCUGACUUCUAGAUGUUUGCAGUGCAAAUAACACAGAAGAAAUCUCAUUUGGUUAUCUGUGACUUCUUUUCUGCUUCCUUUUCUGCUUCUGGAGACAAGGAAAGAAGAUUGUGAUUUAAAGGUGUUAUUUAUGCAUAUCAGAUUUUGGGGAUAUACAGAACUACUGUUGAUUUAGCUGUUAUUUUCCUUGUUCUGCUAAGAAAGAAUAUCUAUGGCAAUUCAGAUGAGCUGCUACUCUUCCUGCUCAUUUCAGGGAAGUAAUCAUCUAUGGAAGUUGAAUCAGAGUCAGUGAAUUGCCUACAUACUUAUUCUUUGUUGACUGGGAAGGUCACAUAAACAUAUCACUGAGAGAAACAAGGAUUAUUGAGGAAAAUUCUACCCCAAUUUUUAAGACUUAAGAAGAAAUAAUUAUUCAGAGAAAAAAGAAAUUCAGCAAUGAGGCUAAUAGUACAGAAGCCUCAUUUGAAGGUACUAAUUGUACUGUGUACAGUUUUAAUCAGAUUGACAAGAAACUUCCCCCUCCCCCACCCCACUAUUUGUAUUUUUGUCAACACAGGACAGAACCAGCAUAUUCUUUUUCUUUUCUCCCAUCCCUGCACCUGGCUCCCCACUCCCACUACCUUUGCAGGUGCUUUAAAAUCACACCCGGUUUCUAUUGAGUAUUUAGUUUGGGGAGCAUUUCCAGAAGUGGAAGAGCCAUAUAAAGGAUGAAAAAUAUGAAGCAUAAUUAGUAUUUGGGCAAAUAGACUAUAAUCCUCACAUAAUGGUUAGUGCUGAAAGGUCUUUGUUAAUAAUGGUAUUUUAAUUAUUUUAAAUUCAUUGACUUGCACUAAUCCAAUGAAAUCUAUAGUCUUAAUUGUUCCAACAGAGCCGAGGAAAAAAUUCUUGAGGAGACAAAAAAACACAUUUAGAGACUGUGCUCAAGAUUUUUUCAUGUGAAAAAAGUUUGAGAAAUUACUAAGCAUUAUCUGUAAGGCAGUAUCAUGAUUCUGCUCAGAUCUUAUGAUAUGUAGAGCAAAAAGCAUAUUUUAUCUGUAAGCAUAGGAAUAAAGGAACAAUAUUAUUAUGGAGUACGUAUAAAAGUCAGUACAUUGCUUACUAUUUUCAGUUUUUUUCUCAUGUGCAGAAACAAGCAGAAGAGAACAAGUUUAUAUAGAAAUUGCCUCUCUGUUCAAGAGAGCUCCCUUUUUUAAUCUGAAACUGAAAAGUUCAGAAGAGCUAUACAGAUACAGCAAGAAACUUGAAUGAACCUUGCCUGCCUAAAACAUUCAGGAAACCUUUUUUCCCACAAGAAUUAAAAGUAAACUUUAUCGUAUAGCUAAAAUAGUCUUACAUUAUAAUUCCCAAUGAGCUUCUUUUUUGUCCUGUAAAAUAAAGAGCCGCUCUUUAUUUUAAUCCAACAUAAUCUACUCCCAAUCAAGUACUGGGAGACAUAAAGCAAUCAGUCACAAGUCAUCCCUUUCCAAGGGCAAGUCAGGAUGACCUGGCAGAGCCUCUUAAGCAAGACAGCAGCAGUUAGAUACCUGUAUGACCAACUGCCACUCCUUCAUUCUCCUCUCCUUCCUUGUUGAUGGAGUAAGUUUAUAUUUGCUACAUGAAUAUGCAAAGAGUUAUGUCUACAACUACAAACCUAUUUAAAGAAAAAUACUGCUUCUGCAUAUCUUGUAUGAUAUUUUCUAUACUCAAACCACCAGGAUCGACAAAUAGGUUAUGUUCCCAGGAUUCUUCCCUGCCAUUGAGGCUCACUGGCACACAAUGAAUCAGAUCCAGACUAUUAUAUUUUCUUAGAUUCCAAAUGAAGGUGUCCGCACGCAAACUGCAAAUGGCCAAUGGCCAUUUGCCUGAACUGCCCCUGAUAAUCAUGUGGAAACAUGCCCAAACUGUCUAAAGGUUGAUUCUAACUAUUUAAAACUACCAAUAACUGAGUUUUAACAUCCUGAAAGUUCUACUUCUUCAAUUUACUAGUACAGAUAUAACCUCAGAGUACACUUCCAGUACUUUUGGCCAUAAAUGUUACAAAUAGCCUACAAUUACCAGUAUGCAGAAAUAGGAAAGUUUUGGUAAUAACAAUAAAUCACCAUGACAAUCAGCAAAUGUGGGCAGCAUAUGAUCCAGCUGCACCAAGAUACGAUCUUGCUGCACUGAGACCUUCUGUUCUGUUAUAUGCAUAACAAAUACAUAAAGAGCUGAUCAUUUUACUUCUGAUUUAAAAACACUACUGAACUAUAUUUAUUAACAGGGCUUUGUUGCUAAAUUGGCUUAUAAUUUUAACAAAACCUGUGGUUUGAGAGGCCCUGAAACAAGCUUACAAUUAUGAUGGCUAACUCAGUAGGCUGCAAAUUUUCUUUCUGCUCUCAUUAAGAGGAAAGGGUAUACACAAAGUAAGACUAAUGAGUUAAAAAAAUUAUCUAAAUUAGAAGUGACAAUGCAGUUGCCAUGCCAAAGUUUAAUUUCUGUACCAACAAACCUGAGCCAAUUUUAAUAAAUAAAGCUAGUUUUAAUGAAUUUUAAUUUAGCCUUAUGAAGCCUUUCCAUGACUAAGAAAAGCUACAGGUAUUGUAUUAAUUGUGAUUGUAAUUGUCAUUUUAGUGGGACUUCUUAUCAAAUCCAGUAGGUAUACGAAGAGAAGAAUAUGACAAAAAUACAAAUAGAUACACUGAUAUCUAAAUGUCAAAGGCCAAGGCUAAAACCAACGCAAGAUCUGUAUGACUACACAGAGAGAUUUCCACAAACAUAAUGUAUAAUUAAUAAUAGACUAAAACAAGCAAACAAGAAAGUCCAAACAUAGUGAUUUUAAUACCUACUCAGGAAAUAGCCUGCUUGGAAAUAAAAAUGAGGACUGUGUUAGUUACAUUCAAAUUACUUUCAUUGACGUGAUACAAAAUGCAGUCAUUCCUUGAGUUCAUACUUCUCGAAAGCACGGUGUGCUGUACCUGUGUGACCCCUGAUGGCUAAUUGCUCUACCCAUCAUUUAGAGCCUUCUGUCGCAAGGAACCUGCAGCCUCCCUGGGUAACCUGUUCAGGGCUUACUCCUAGAGACUGUUUCUCAUGGAGCAAUUGUAAUUUUUAUAGCUUUUGUCAUUUAGAUGUCUAACAUUUUCCCAUCCAGACUGACUACGACUUUCCAUCAUUCCAACAAUUAAUUUUCUUUGAUUUCAACUCUGACUGAGACACCUGAGGAAGUGAAGAGAGGAGAGAAGACAGUGACUCUGUUUAAGGCAGGAAAAUAGGGAAGGAACUGCCUCUGAAGAAUUAAAGGCAGCAUGAACCCAGACAGCUACCACAUUACAUAGAGAAAACAAUAACACUGGAGAAAGAGUAGCAGGAAUGGAUAUCUUUUCUGUGGGAAAAACUUGAAUGCUUUUAUUCUGCAGAUAGUAGUCAUGGCAUGUUAUUUCUUCUCAGCAUUAAAAGAGAACAUGCAUGUACUGAAAACUGCCCACAAACCAUUUGAUGUGUUGUUUGCUUUAUCCUUUCUAUUUUUUUCCACAUUUAUGCUGUUAAGUGUUCUAACCAGACUGUUUACAUGUAUCCCUAAGCAAGCCACAACUGUUGCUAGCUACAUAUUAUCUUUAUAGUCUCAUUAUCUCUGGUUGUCUGAAUUCUGUCUGGCUCACAGAACUAACUUGUAGUAUUUAACACUUGCCUGUAGUGAGUCUUCUAAAAACCUUCUAAUCAAGGUGCCCUGCAUACAAUAUAAAUAUUUUGCUCCUUAAUUAUAGUAACUGGCAUGUUACUUUUCACAACUAGCUACGUAGCAUCAGCUUCCCUGUAGAGCCUCGGGUGUUGUCUGAAAAGUAAGAUUUUAACAAUCUCAGCUAUGCAGAAGCUGUCUCUUAAAUGUUUUUGUGCUAUAGACAUAUAGAAGAACCACAGACCAAUGUCUAGAGUGUUCUUUUGCAGUGCAGAAUGUCCUUUAAAUAUUUUUCUAUUCACAAUAAUAAAGAUACUGAAUAAUGAAGAUACUGAAUUAGAAAGCUAUCUGUGCAGUGAAAAAAAGCUGUUCUUCUGUUUCUUCUAAAGAAUGUUGCCUCCUUUACAAUUUGUGUUCUAUAUUAUAUAUAUAACAUUUUAAUGUCCCUGACAAAUAAAAUACUGGCGUGGAUAAAAAUAUCAUGGACACUCUUUGCAAUAGAAGAUUUUAUUUUUAGAAGUGCUUAUUUUUAAGGUAUGUCUUUAAUCUUAUAAAAAACAGUAGAAAAAACAGCUUUGAAACCUGCACAUUGCCAGUUGUUUAUGUCAGUGGUCUUAGCAAUUCUAGUAAUCUCAGCACGUUAGUGUUCAGAACUGUUCUUCAGUGUUUUGCACAAAUAUUCUUACUGUGUCCCUGCAGCUACAAUAGAUUGAAUCAUCAAGCUUUAGAAGUUUAUCAUUUUCCUUGAAUAGUCAAUGGAGCUGUUGUCUAGACUAUCUGCCAGAGAUAAAAAAGUUGCUCAUUUCAGAGUUAUAAAAUAUUGCUUGUUAUUUCUGAGGGCAUAUAUCUAGAGCCAGUUCACAGCUUCUUUCAUAGGGAAGACUUACUAAAAGAGAUAUUCUAGAGGCAGCAAAACUCCAGCAAACGUGAAUUUUUCAUCCAGGAUUCCUCUUAUAAGAAUUCCCUGAGUCCACACUUGGUAAAUUUGAAUCUGGGCUCUAUCAGCUUACAAAGUUAAGGAUGAAGUUUCUCUAGUAAUGGGCAGUGCGAUAGAUGAUCCUUCAAAAGUGAUUGCUAGUCCUUUCAAGGAACACAUUACAAUAUUUUGAAGUAGAGUGGGAUUUGAAAAGAAACCAAACAGUAAGAACAGAAAUUGGGUGAGGUGAUCUAUGUUAAGAAAGACAAACAGCUGCAUGUUGGACUAUGAGCCUUUCGGCUGACCUUCAGGCUUGGCUGAGGGUGGCCUGUGGUCUGCAUAAUGUCCCAAGACCGGUGUGAUACGCUUUCCAGAGAUGGAAGAGUAAUUCCUGCUCUUGUUGCUACCUCAAGCCUAAAAAAAUCAGGCGUUGCAGUUGAAGAUUACUUCAGUUAUUGAAGUUAACUUAUUGAAUGAAAUGCAGCAACUCAGUCAAAUUUUCUUUUUUCUUUUAUUUCCUAGUAAACAUUCCUACUAUCCCUACAAAAAUAUAAAUAGUAUAAUAAUAUGAAGUGAAUGGAGUCUAUGCUUCAUCUAGUUCCCUAUUUCCAUCAGAUCAGAAUAUCUGGCAUAAUCUUGUGCAUGUUAAAUAAGACAAUACCAAGUUUUUUUUGGUGCAAUUAUUAAUUCUUUAUCUGAUAGAAGUAAUUAAGCAUCUCUAUACAAUCUUAAGAUGUUUAACAAUAAAAAAGGUCUUGUGACAAUUUAUCAAAGUCCCAGAAAUGUGUAAGUCUUACUUUCUAAAAGUGGAAUUCAUACAGUACAUUCCUAGAAAUGCAACCAGAAUUGAAUGGGAAGAUAAAACUGAUGAAAAGGAAAGAGAAUAAGCACAAUGGAUAAGGAAAUACAGAAAUAGUAAUAGGCCUAGAGCUAAAAGAGAUGAUUAUUGAAAAGAGGUGGUUAUUGAAGAAAAACUGGCAAUGGCUAAGGAGAAAUUUGUGACCAAAAAGAAGACAUUAAAUAAAAAGAAACAAAAGAGAAAACCAAAGAGUUCCACUAGUAGCUCAUAGAGCCAUGGAAGCUAUUAUCUUGUAAUAAUUCAUUUAGGAAAGUCAACCCAGGAUUUAGUGAUCAAUAUAUUGUAACAUUAAAAAGAACUUUCUAGAGAUUUUCAUGCUGGUAGUUAAAGUGGCAAAGAACCAAACAAGGAAUUCUACGAAUUUAACAGCAUAUGUAUGUUUGCGGUAUCUGGGUCAUUGCCAACAUCUCAGCUCUACUUAAUUUCCUGUAUAGAUGUUGCCUCUUACACUCACGUUCUAGAAUUAGCCAGUCCAAAAAAUGGACAAAGAAAGGGAACAAUAUAGGAAGAAUCUUCAGCUUGUUCCCAUAGAGCCUACUUUUGUCUUUUGGCUCCACAGAGCAUCUUGUGAAUUUACAAUAAUUCUUCUACAGUAUUGGAAGUGUAUGCCCUCAGGGAAGGGCAUACACAGGAAAACCUCCAGCUCCCCCACCAUGCAGUCCUUCUGCAGUAAACUGAAAAGAGAAAGCCUUUCUAAAAGGAGACCUGAAAACAAAUUUACUUUGGGGUAUUAGUCUUCCUCUCAGAACCUCUCCCCAGCAACAAUUGUUUCAGCAGUCCAUGUGCCAGAAUGUUAUGGCUAGAUAAAGUUUGUUCAAGAAGUAUUGCUACCCUUGUAUAAAAUAUUUUUGUAAUUCCCAUAACAUUCUCAAUAUGUAGCAAAUAUGUAUUUUGUGGUCUCCAUUGUUUAAGGCCAAAGUUUGAACUAAAGUCAUGACAACAUUUAUAAUGGACACAAUGAGGCAGUUAUCUUCAUCAGGGCAGAACCUGGUAAUUACCUUAUGUGUGUUUUCCCCUUGUUUUCCUUCCCUUUGUAGCUAUACAGAUGGAAGAAACACAGCUCAGUGGGUUUUUUUGCCCUUCAUCUCAAAUUUUUCUAAUCGUAGGCAGAGCAGAAUAAAAAAAAUUGCAAGUUUAGGAUUUUAAGCCUAAAAUAGUACAGUUCCUGGUGGUUGGAAAUAUGGUUGUCUUAAAAUAAUGGCUGUGGGUCACCUGAGCUGCUUUUAUAAGACAAAAAUAAUAAGAAUAACAAGAAUUUCAGACAUGUUUGUGCCAUUCUAUUCUUGUUAUGGUUAUUGACACUCUGAGAGUUUGCUCCUUCAACAUCUAUGUACAUUCUAUCCAUAAGCAGCUAAAUAGUUGCUACCACAAUGGAAUUUCACACAGGUAUGAUGGAUGAGGUUAAAUGUGAUGAUGAUGCUGUAGAUAGUUUAGGCUUGUGGUGGCUAGAACCACCUACUAGGAUCCUUCCAAGUUUAUUACAGCUGCAGCCCAUAAGCAGUGAAAACUGCAUUAUAUAUAUAUAUAUAUGCAUCAAACUCUCAUUCAAUGAUUUGUAUGUGCCUUACAUACAGUCAGAAAACCAAUAAUUUCUUACAUCAAGUUAUAUGCAAACCUACAGUCGAAUUUUCCACAAAUGAAUAAAUGAUUCUGGUUUAAGCCGAGAUGUGUUAUGGGGGAGAGAAAAGAAAUAACAUCUUUUUUGCUGUUGAAUUGCUAGUAUUAACAGUCAGCUUUUAAUGGAGUGGUAUUCACAUGGCAUAAGAACAUCCAGUAUUGGUAAUAUUUGAUAUAUUAUAUUCAUUUACUUGAGCUUCUUUCACACUGAUAACAUAUUUGAAUGUAUCCAAACAGCAGAGGUAAUAUAUGUUUUCUGAAAUACUCAAUAAAAGUAACAUAACUUACAGAAUAAGCUUUGAACAGUACUCCAUAUUCUAACUCACCUGUGUCUUCUUUAUGAAAUAAAACAUUAUUUUUGAGUAGCUAGGUCAUUUCCAUCUAUAAAAAGCACAGAAAUCACGGUGUUUAGUCUGAUAAUAUUUCCCAAUCCCUUCAAUCUAUUUAGCUUAACAGAUGUACAGAGGCACACAGAUGGAAACAAAUCAGUCCUUUUCAAGCUUGGUGCUCAAGAAAAUAAUCAGGACAGCAAGCUAGCGACACUAUUCCUUGUCUUCUUUGUAACUGAAACUGUUGCAAUGGUGACAUGGGAAGCAAAAGCAUAUUAUUUUCUAGAAAACUAUGGUUACGGUGUGUGUUACUUAAUAUUCAGCCUAUCUCAUUCCCAGGAAUCAAGAGAAUCCAGUUCAAGAGAAGAAGUGGCUGUCCUACUCAACGCUGAGCAUCAUGCUGCUUCUGUUAAAAUUAGUGGUUCAUCCAAACUGCAGGUGCUGUUCGACCCUGAGCCUGGGUGCAGGUGCUGGCUGGGAUAAGAGAUGAGAAAGAAAGAUGGGAGAGAAUCAGAAGAAUCAUUUAUUUGGGUUGAAUCGAAGUGGCAAUGUUUCAGACUUGCUAGAAAAAUGAACAUUUCCGUAUCUCCAAGCUUCUUUCACAGAAGAAAAUUCCUCCAUUUGGGCAUGGGUCAAGAUUUUGAACCUUUGGAGUAAACACUUUAAAAAGCACUGAAAUUCUUUUUUCAAUGUCAGCUGAAAAGAAAGUCAGGAUUAGUGCUGAGUGGAUUCUCUGAAAUAUGUGAUCUCAUACAUACAAUAAAUAAACUGCUUGGAUCCAGCUCUACUCAAAA